rnacentral:sRNA from 1 species
AAGAAAAAUAAAAUAAAAAG